UUCAUUCCUACUAUUCACAUCAGUACUACUACUACUUCUACUACUACUACUACUACUACUACUACUACUACUACUACUACUACUACUACUACUACUACUGCUGUUACUUUUUUUUAUUUAUUUUUUUCUUCUCGCUUGUAUCAUGGUCAUUUUUUCCUCUUCUUCCUCCUCCUCCUCCUCCUCCUCCUCCUCCUCCUCCUCUUCCUCUUCGCGUCCUCUCCUCUUCGUCCUCCUUCUCACCUUGAUGUCUGUUCUCUGCAGCGUGACGAGUGAGGGUGUGUGUGAGUGUGGGGUGUUCCUGAGUGAGGGGCAAGGGGGCCAAGAGAUCACGACCCUCUCCCAGCCCCUCCCCCUCCCUUCCUGCGCUUCCUACAUCGCCUGCAGGAGGGAGUGUGUCCAGCAGUUCGCGGCGUGGCGGGGGGACAUGGCUCAGCUGUUGCCUGAAGGUGUACCGGUGGGCCAGCUGCUGUGUGGCCUCCUGGCUGCUCAGGGCCGCCCUCACCUGCCGCCCCACCAGGUGCAUCUCUACCUGAGUGUGUGUGGCGGGCCUUGGCAAUACACGGAGGCCAGCGUCCCUGAGCCCCUGUGCUGCGUCGCGGGGGCCUUCUCCUCCUGCAGGGGCGGCGGGGCAGGCAGGGUGGGACGGGGCAGGCGUCUCUCCUCCCCAGCUCUCGUCCUCCCCCGCCCCUCCGCCGCUGCCGCCGCCGCCUCCGUCGAUGUGUUUGUGCCUACCUCCUCCCAUGACGCUCCUCGCUCCUUAUCUAUGUAGAGAGAGAGAGAGAGAGAGAGAGAGAGAGAGAGAGAGAGAGAGAGAGAGAGAGAGAGAUCUAAAGAAAGGAGGUAAUAAGCAAAGGGAAGAGAAAAGAAAGGAAUAAAGGAAAAAAAAUUACA